AGAGGUCUCAAGCGUUGUUCGGAUUCAUUGGGCGUAAAGGGUGCGUAGGCGGCGCGGUAAGGCGGGUGUGAAAUCUCGGAGCUUAACUCCGAAACUGCAUUCGAUACUGCCGUGCUUGAGGACUGGAGAGGAGACUGGAAUUUACGGUGUAGCGGUGAAAUGCGUAGAUAUCGUAAGGAAGACCAGUGGCGAAGGCGGGUCUCUGGACAGUUCCUGACGCUGAGGCACGAAGGUCAGGGGAGCAAACGGG
rnacentral:rRNA from 1 species